AACGAACGCUGGCGGCAUGCCUAACACAUGCAAGUCGAACGAGAUCUUCGGGUCUAGUGGCGCACGGGUGCGUAACGCGUGGGAAUCUGCCCUUGGGUUCGGAAUAACUUCGGGAAACUGAAGCUAAUACCGGAUGAUGACGUAAGUCCAAAGAUUUAUCGCCCAAGGAUGAGCCCGCGUAGGAUUAGCUAGUUGGUGGGUAAAGGCCUACCAAGCCGACGAUCCUUAGCUGGUCUGAGAGGAUGAUCAGCCACACUGGGACUGAGACACGGCCCAGACUCCUACGGGAGGCAGCAGUGGGGAAUAUUGGACAAUGGGCGGAAAGCCUGAUCCAGCAAUGCCGCGUGAGUGAUGAAGGCCU
rnacentral:rRNA from 1 species